CGUGGCGGCGUGGAUUGGCAUGCAAGUCGAACGAAUCCCAGCUUGGUAGCAAUAUCGAGCUGGGGGAAGUGGCGAAAGGGGCAGUAAGGCGUGGGUAACCUACCUCGGGGACGUGGAUAGCCAUUCUAACGAGUGGGUAAUACGCGGCGAUUUGAUUGAGGGGCAUCCCUUGGUCAGGAAAUGAAUUUCGCCUCGAGAGGGGCUCACGUGAUAUUAGCUAAUUGGUAGGGUAACGGCCUACCAAGGCAAAGAUGUCUAGCGGGUGUGAGAGCACGACCCGCGCCACUGGCACUGAGACACUGGCCAGACACCUACGGGUGGCUGCAGUCGAGGAUCUUUGGCAAUGAGCGCAAGCUUGACCAAGCGACGCCGCGUGUGCGAUGAAGGCCUUCGGGUUGUAAAGCACUGUCGAGGGGGACGAAGCCGAAAGGUUGACCGAUCCCUGGAGGAAGCACGGGCUAAGUUCGUGCCAGCAGCCGCGGUAAGACGAACCGUGCGAACGUUGUUCGGAAUCACUGGGCUUAAAGGGCGCGUAGGCGGCUAGCCAAGUCAGUGGUGAAAUCCUGCAGCUUAACUGCAGAAGUGCCUUUGAUACUGGCGAGCUCGAGGGAGGUAGGGGUAUGUGGAACUUCUGGUG
rnacentral:rRNA from 1 species